rnacentral:rRNA from 1 species
CCUACGAGGGGCAGCAGUGAGGAAUAUUGGUCAAUGGACGAGAGUCUGAACCAGCCAAGUAGCGUGAAGGAUGACUGCCCUAUGGGUGGUAAACUUCUUUUAUAUGGGAAUAAAAUGUUCCACGUGUGGGAUUUUGUAUGUACCAUAUGAAUAAGGAUCGGCUAACUCCGUGCCAGCAGCCGCGGUAAUACGGAGGAUCCGAGCGUUAUCCGGAUUUAUUGGGUUUAAAGGGAGCGUAGGUGGAUUGUUAAGUCAGUUGUGAAAGUUUGUGGCUCAACCGUAAAAUUGCAGUUGAAACUGGCAGUCUUGAGUACAGUAGAGGUGGGCGGAAUUCGUGGUGUAGCGGUGAAAUGCUUAGAUAUCACGAAGAACUCCGAUGGCGAAGGCAGCUCACUGGACUGCAACUGACACUGAGGCUCGAAAGUGUGGGUAUCAAACAGGAUUAGAUACCCGAGUAGUC